rnacentral:rRNA from 1 species
GGUGGUGUGAGAUGGACCCGCGUCUGAUUAGCUAGUUGGUAGGGUAACGGCCUACCAAGGCGACGAUCAGUAGCCGACCUGAGAGGGUGACCGGCCACAUUGGGACUGAGACACGGCCCAAACUCCUACGGGAGGCAGCAUG